UUAAGCGACUAAGCGUACACGGUGGAUGCCCUGGCAGUCAGAGGCGAUGAAGGACGUGCUAAUCUGCGAUAAGCGCCGGUAAGGUGAUAUGAACCGUUAUAACCGGCGAUUUCCGAAUGGGGAAACCCAGUGUGAUUCGUCACACUAUCAUUAACUGAAUCCAUAGGUUAAUGAGGCGAACCGGGGGAACUGAAACAUCUAAGUACCCCGAGGAAAAGAAAUCAACCGAGAUUCCCCCAGUAGCGGCGAGCGAACGGGGAGGAGCCCAGAGCCUGAAUCAGCAUGUGUGUUAGUGGAAGCGUCUGGAAAGGCGCGCGAUACAGGGUGACAGCCCCGUACACAAAAGCGCAUGUGUUGUGAGCUCGAUGAGUAGGGCGGGACACGUGGUAUCCUGUCUGAAUAUGGGGGGACCAUCCUCCAAGGCUAAAUACUCCUGACUGACCGAUAGUGAACCAGUACCGUGAGGGAAAGGCGAAAAGAACCCCGGCGAGGGGAGUGAAAAAGAACCUGAAACCGUGUACGUACAAGCAGUGGGAGCUGAGGGAAAGGCGAAAAGAACCCCGGCGAGGGGAGUGAAAAAGAACCUGAAACCGUGUACGUACAAGCAGUGGGAGCCCCACCACUAAGCCAGUGGUGAACUCCACAUACGCAUCCUUUGCUGAGGAUACGGUUAACGGAGCGCAAGCGACGUUCAACCGCAAAAGAAGCAGAGGGGGCUUAGUGGUGGGGUGACUGCGUACCUUUUGUAUAAUGGGUCAGCGACUUAUAUUCUGUAGCAAGGUUAACCGUAUAGGGGAGCCGGAGGGAAACCGAGUCUUAAUUGGGCGUUAAGUUGCAGGGUAUAGACCCGAAACCCGGUGAUCUAGCCAUGGGCAGGUUNAGGGAAACCGAGUCUUAACCGGGCGUUAAGUUGCAGGGUAUAGACCCGAAACCCGGUGAUCUAGCCAUGGGCAGGUUGAAGGUUGGGUAACACUAACUGGAGGACCGAACCGACUAAUGUUGAAAAAUUAGCGGAUGACCUGUGGCUGGGGGUGAAAGGCCAAUCAAACCGGGAGAUAGCUGGUUCUCCCCGAAAGCUAUUUAGGUAGCGCCUCGUGAAUUCAUCUCCGGGGGUAGAGCACUGUUUCGGCUAGGGGGCCAUCCCGGCUUACCAACCCGAUGCAAACUGCGAAUACCGGAGAAUGUUAUCACGGGAGACACACGGCGGGUGCUAACGUCCGUCGUGAAGAGGGAAACAACCCAGACCGCCAGCUAAGGUCCCAAAGUCAUGGUUAAGUGGGAAACGAUGUGGGAAGGCCCAGACAGCCAGGAUGUUGGCUUAGAAGCAGCCAUCAUUUAAAGAAAGCGUAAUAGCUCACUGGUCGAGUCGGCCUGCGCGGAAGAUGUAACGGGGCUAAACCAUGCACCGAAGCUGCGGCAGCGAGUAAUAGCUCACUGGUCGAGUCGGCCUGCGCGGAAGAUGUAACGGGGCUAAACCAUGCACCGAAGCUGCGGCAGCGAACGUAUCACUUAAAGCGAUUCAGCGGGUUACGAUUGACGGAGCGAAGCGACGUCAAAGCGUAUACAAAGUCGAGUCGGUUUAAGGAUACGUUCGUUGGGUAGGGGAGCGUUCUGUAAGCCUGUGAAGGUGGCCUGUGAGGGUUGCUGGAGGUAUCAGAAGUGCGAAUGCUGUUGGGUAGGGGAGCGUUCUGUAAGCCUGUGAAGGUGGCCUGUGAGGGUUGCUGGAGGUAUCAGAAGUGCGAAUGCUGACAUAAGUAACGAUAAAGCGGGUGAAAAGCCCGCUCGCCGGAAGACCAAGGGUUCCUGUCCAACGUUAAUCGGGGCAGGGUGAGUCGACCCCUAAGGCGAGGCCGAAAGGCGUAGUCGAUGGGAAACGGGUUAAUAUUCCCGUACUUGGUGUUACUGCGAAGGGGGGACGGAGAAGGCUAUGUUGGCCGGGCGACGGUUGUCCCGGUUUAAGCGUGUAGGUGUGUGUUCCAGGUAAAUCCGGUUCACUUUAACACUGAGGCGUGAUGACGAGGCACUACGGUGCUGAAGCAACAAAUGCCCUGCUUCCAGGAAAAGCCUCUAAGCAUCAGGUAACAUCAAAUCGUACCCCAAACCGACACAGGUGGUCAGGUAGAGAAUACCAAGGCGCUUGAGAGAACUCGGGUGAAGGAACUAGGCAAAAUGGUGCCGUAACUUCGGGAGAAGGCACGCUGACAUGUAGGUGAAGUGAUUUACUCAUGGAGCUGAAGUCAGUCGAAGAUACCAGCUGGCUGCAACUGUUUAUUAAAAACACAGCACUGUGCAAACACGAAAGUGGACGUAUACGGUGUGACGCCUGCCCGGUGCCGGAAGGUUAAUUGAUGGGGUCAGCGCAAGCGAAGCUCCUGAUCGAAGCCCCGGUAAACGGCGGCCGUAACUAUAACGGUCCUAAGGUAGCGAAAUUCCUUGUCGGGUAAGUUCCGACCUGCACGAAUGGCGUAAUGAUGGCCAGGCUGUCUCCACCCGAGACUCAGUGAAAUUGAACUCGCUGUGAAGAUGCAGUGUACCCGCGGCAAGACGGAAAGACCCCGUGAACCUUUACUAUAGCUUGACACUGAACAUUGAGCCUUGAUGUGUAGGAUAGGUGGGAGGCUUUGAAGCGUGGACGCCAGUCUGCAUGGAGCCGGCCUUGAAAUACCACCCUUUAAUGUUUGAUGUUCUAACGUGGACCCGUAAUCCGGGUUGCGGACAGUGUCUGGUGGGUAGUUUGACUGGGGCGGUCUCCUCCUAAAGAGUAACGGAGGAGCACGAAGGUUGGCUAAUCCUGGUCGGACAUCAGGAGGUUAGUGCAAUGGCAUAAGCCAGCUUGACUGCGAGCGUGACGGCGCGAGCAGGUGCGAAAGCAGGUCAUAGUGAUCCGGUGGUUCUGAAUGGAAGGGCCAUCGCUCAACGGAUAAAAGGUACUCCGGGGAUAACAGGCUGAUACCGCCCAAGAGUUCAUAUCGACGGCGGUGUUUGGCACCUCGAUGUCGGCUCAUCACAUCCUGGGGCUGAAGUAGGUCCCAAGGGUAUGGCUGUUCGCCAUUUAAAGUGGUACGCGAGCUGGGUUUAGAACGUCGUGAGACAGUUCGGUCCCUAUCUGCCGUGGGCGCUGGAGAACUGAGGGGGGCUGCUCCUAGUACGAGAGGACCGGAGUGGACGCAUCACUGGUGUUCGGGUUGUCAUGCCAAUGGCACUGCCCGGUAGCUAAAUGCGGAAGAGAUAAGUGCUGAAAGCAUCUAAGCACGAAACUUGCCCCGAGAUGAGUUCUCCCUGAGACUUAGAGUCUCCUGAAGGAACGUUGAAGACGACGACGUUGAUAGGCCGGGUGUGUAAGCGCAGCGAUGCGUUGAGCUAACCGGUACUAAUGAACCGUGAGGCUUAACCUU
rnacentral:rRNA from 1 species